rnacentral:miRNA from 1 species
AGGUGGAAGGAUUGCUUGAGUCUGGGAGGUGGAGGUUGCAGUGAGCUGAGAUCAUGCCACUGCACUCCAGCCUGGGUAACAGAGUGAGAUCUUGUCUC